UCCUGGUUGGCUCAGUGGGUAGAGCGCUCCAAUGGAAAUGGGGAAGUCCCUGGUUCGAUACCAGGAACAGGCG
rnacentral:tRNA from 2 species